rnacentral:lncRNA from 1 species
UAUACUUUUCUUGUUUUUUUUGGGGGCUUUUGACUAGUUUUUUCUUGGGUUAAAUUUUCUUUUACCAUAAAAUUCAUCAUUAUGUCUAAAGGACUGUUUUCGGCGUGAGUAAUGCCUAUGUUUACUAGUUUGUUAGUCAUUGUACCUAGUCUUGACUUUUCUAGAUGAGGGAGUAAAUGCUAGACCAUACUGUUCACAAAAAUCUCCUAAUUCAUAUUUGGUUGAAUUUCU